GUCUCUGUAGCGUUAUGGAUAGCGUUUUGGACUUCUAAUCCAAAGGUCGUGGAUUUGAAUCCCACCUGAGUUG